GGUUCGAUCAUACCAGAUUGAAUGCCGGCGGAUGCUUUACAUGCAAGUCGAACGGCAGCACGGACUUCGGUCUGGUGGCGAGUGGCGAACGGGUGAGUAAUGUAUCGGAACGUGCCUAGUAGUUGUGGGGAUAACCCGCGAAAGGAAGCAUUACUGCAUGAAUGCCCCUUCGGGGGAAAAGCGGGGACCUUUUCGGGCUCGCACUAUUAGAGCGGCCGAUAUUGGAUUAGCUAGUUGGUAAGUAACGGCUCACCAAGGCGACGAUCCGUAGCUGGUUUGAGAGACGACCAGCCACACUGGGACCGAGACACGGCCCAGACUCCUACGGGAGGCAGUGGGGAAUUUUGGACAAUGGGGGAAACCCCGAUCCAGCCAUCCAUGUGUGCAAUGAAGGCCUUCGGGGUUGUAAAGCACUUUUGGCAGGUAGUAAGAAACGGCACGGGAUAAUACCCUGUGCAACUGAUUGCGCCUGGCGGGUGAAUAAGCACCGGCUAACCACGUGCCAGCAGCCGCGGUAAUACGUAGGGUGCAAGCGUUAAUCGGAAUUAUCGGCGUAAAAGCGUGCGCAGGCGGUUCGAAAAAGAAAGAUGUGAAAUCCCAGAGCUUAACUUUGGAACUGCAUUUUUUAACUACCGAGCUCGGGAGUGUGUCAGAGGAGGUGGAAUUCCGCGCGGUAGCAGGAAAUGCGUAGAUACGGCGGAGGAACACCGUGAUGGCGAAGGCAGCCUCCUGAUAACACUCGACGCUCAUGCACGAAAGCGUGGGGAGCAAAACAGGAUUAGAUACCCCAGUAGUCCACGCCCUAAACGAUGUCAACUAGCUGUUGGGGCCUUCGGGCCUUGGUAGCGCAGCUUAACGCGGUGAAGUUGACCGCCGGCCUGGGGAGUACGGCCAAAGAUUAAAACUCAAAGGAAUUGACGGGGACCCGCACAAGCGGUGGAUGAUGCGUAGGAUUAAUUCGAUGCAACGCGAAAAAAACCUUACCUACCCUGACAUGUCUGGAACUCGAAGAGAUUUGGGAGUGCUCGCGGAAAGAGAACCGGAACACAGGUGCUGCAUGCAGCCGUCGUCAAAGGCUCGUGUCGUGAGAUGCUGUUGGGUUAAGUCCCGCAACGAGCGCAACCCUGUCAUUAGUUGCUACGAAAGGGCACUCUAAUGAGAUCGCCGGUGACAAACUGAGGUAUGCGUGGGAUGACGUCAAGUCCUCGUAGCUGGCCCCAUGGGUAGGGCUUCAUCAUCUGCCAUAUACAAUGGUCGGGACAGAGGGUCGCCAACCCGCGAGGGGAGCCAAUCCAGAAACCCGAUCGUAGUCCGGAUCGCAGUCUGCAACUCGACUGCGUGAAGUCGGAAUCGCUAGUAAUCGCGGAUCACACUGUCAGUGGUGAAUACGUUCCCGUGGGCCUCGCACACACCGCCCGUCAGCACUACGGGAGUGGGUUUUACCAGAAGUAGUUAGCCUAACCGUAAGGAGGGCGAUUACCACGGUAUAGGACUACGACUGGGGUGAAGUCGUAAUACAAGGUAA
rnacentral:rRNA from 1 species